AUUUAUAUAAUAUAAUUAUUAUUAUUUAAAGCUUCCAACUUUAAAAUCUUUCCAUAAGUAUAAAUA
rnacentral:tRNA from 1 species